GCUAAAAGAGGAUGAUCAUCAAGAGAAACAAGCAAAGAGGAAAGAUCUGUGACUUCCGUCAAGGAACUCUGAGCCCACUGCAAGUUUUCACAUACCCCAGAGAAAGGGUAAGGAAUGGCCAGCGCAUGGAUUUCCAAAUAUUGGGAAGAGCAGGUCUUCUGAAGAGCCAGGUGGCACCUACCCAUCAUGCGGAGCUCAGAUUGCGCGGAUGGGCAAGAGAAUGGAAAACGUGGCCCACAGCAGCUUCGACACGUGGCACAGAGAUUGCAGCUCCGAGGAGGCCGUUUCACCUGCUCUCUCCUCCUCACUCGUUCCUGGCGGUGGCUCCACUUAAAGCUUGGACUCGUGGCUCCAAUCAAGCGAGCGCCCGAAUUCCUAGAGAAUCUGGAAGAAAGGAGAAGAGCGGCCAUUAUGAGAGAGGACACGCUCCAGGUUGGCAAGAUUUGCUUGUGCUCUGUGACCACAUUGCCUCUUCCUGGCAGAAUGGACGUGUUGGUGGUAUUCCCUAACGUUCUUGAGCUCUUGUGUUGAGUCUGGUACAAAAGCAAAUAAAAAUCCCAAAGAGAAAGGAUUGAUGUUUUAU
rnacentral:lncRNA from 1 species